rnacentral:rRNA from 1 species
UAAUACGGAGGUGGCAAGCGUUGUUCGGAAUUACUGGGCGUAAAGGGCGCGUAGGCGGCAGGGCAAGUCAGGUGUGAAAGCCCCGGGCUCAACUCGGGAACUGCAUCUGAAACUGCUUUGCUUGAGUCCUGGAGGGGGUAGUGGAAUUCCCAGUGUAGCGGUGAAAUGCGUAGAUAUUGGGAGGAACACCGGUGGCGAAGGCGGCUACCUGGACAGUGACUGACGCUGAGGCGCGAAAGCUAGGGGAGCGAACGGGAUUAGAUACCCUGGUAGUCCACGCCGUAAACGAUGAAUGCCAGCCGUUAGUGGGUUUACUCACUAGUGGCGCAGCUAACGCUUUAAGCAUUCCGCCUGGGGAGUACGGUCGCAAGAUUA